AUUGAACGCUGGCGGCAGGCCUAACACAUGCAAGUCGAACGAGUGGCGGACGGGUGAGUAAUGUCUGGGAAACUGCCUGAUGGAGGGGGAUAACUACUGGAAACGGUAGCUAAUACCGCAUACCAUCAGAUGUGCCCAGAUGGGAUUAGCUUGUUGGUGGGGUAACGGCUCACCAAGGCGACGGUCCCUAGCUGGUCUGAGAGGAUGACCCGCCAAACGGGAACUGAGACACGGUUCAAGCUUCUACGGGAGGCAGCAGUGGGGAAUAUUGGACAAUGGGCGCAAGGCUUGAGGAGGCAUGGCGGGGGGAAGAAGGAGGCCUUCGGGUUUUAAAGUACUUUCAGCGGGGAGGCGUUACCCGCAGAAGAAGCACCGGCUAACUCCGGGGCAGCCGGCGCGGUAAUAC
rnacentral:rRNA from 1 species